GGUCCCUUAGUGGCUGUUGAAUCAUGGCCGUCUAUGGACAUGAAGACCGUUUGGGAAAUCUUUUACUGUAUUUUAUGUAACAUUCAGACGAUUUAAACACGGAAUUAAUCAAGUAUUUUAACGUCGCCUACUGUAGAUAUAAAGUAGUUGAAUUAACUUGAAGCAGCGUUUUAAAAUUAGUACUUUAUUUUGACAGGUCACCAUUUUUUUGACACACAAUAAUGUACAGUUCGUCAUUCGAAGGACUCCUGAGGUCUGAGGAUUGUUCUGGAAGAAGCAGUAACUCCUGGAUCCUGCAGAGACAUGAGGUGGACAGCAACGUUAGUCUGUUAAAUCUGGCAAGCGAGGAGGACGAUGAAGUCCAGUUUGACACUUCCGACACAGACAAUAACCGAGAGGUCUUGAUGGCUGGAAGACAUUACCCGUCGGUCCAAGAGUUUGCCUCUGCGAUCCCCAACCACCUCCUGCUGGGCUCUCUCCUGGAGCACCUGUGCUUCGUCUAUGAGACUAACCCAGCGCGCUCACGUACGCUGUUUAAAGUUAUAGGCCAGCGUUUAGCUGCCCUGAACCUCCUCUCACCUUUAGCCAUCAGUGAUGAGUUCAGCACCGUCAGACUGCAGCACAACCGGGCCUUCACCGAGCUGCUGCACGCUGCCAGCUCCUCGCUGUAUCCUCAGGGCCAACAAGGUCUCGGGUCAAACACGCACAAUCCUGCUGUAAGACCUAAGGAGGGACUGUUCCAAGCGCAGACAUCCCGGUAUCUUAGUGAAUUUGAAGAAAUGCUUCGGCUCGGAAAGGGAUCAUAUGGAAAUGUUUUUAAGGUUAUGAACAAACUGGAUGGACAAUAUUAUGCUGUGAAGAAAAUCCUCAUCAAAAAAGUCUCAAAGGAUGACUGCAUGAAGGUCCUCAGAGAAGUCAAGAUGUUGUCCAGCCUGCUGCAUGUGAAUGUUGUCGGCUAUCACACUGCGUGGAUGGAACAUGUGCAGCCCGCAGCAUAUCCUGCGUCCCUGCUGCCUGCACUGGAGUCACCUGAACAAAACGACAGCUCUGAUCAGAGUUCUUACAGCAGCAGCGUUUCCUCAUCAAUCAUUUUCCAGAGCCGGAGUCAAGCAUCUACAGACUCAGAUGCCAAAGAACCGCCAAGAGAGACCAAUCCCUUCACAGCGUUAGUCGCGACACCAGAGACAGGUCAGGUGGUUUGUCCCAAGACGAUGCGGCGGGUUCCCAAUAACUACGUCCCCUGUGUGUUCCUGGGACAGCGAGCAACCCCGAAGAGCUCCAAAUGUCCCGCCAUGAGCAGCUCGGCUCUGUUGGAGGACGGGUCCAGCAGGAGCAGCAUCGAGCUGAACGACAACUCCUGCUACGACCAGGAGUUCCAGCAGUGGGCCGACCUGUGCACCACCAAGCCUCCUAAAGAGGUCCAGUUCCACCUGAUGCUCUACAUCCAGAUGCAGCUGUGUGAGCGCUCUCUGAAGGACUGGAUCUCCGAGAGGAACACCAAGCCCAAAGAAGAACAAACCUCAAGAUGUCCUUAUGGAUGUGUUGACACAGAACACACACUCAGCCUGUUGAGGAAGAUACUUGAAGGAGUGGAGUACAUUCACUCCAGAGGAAUCAUGCACAGAGACCUGAAGCCGAGAAACAUUUUCCUCCAUGGUCGUGACCGCCAUGUUCGUAUUGGGGACUUUGGCCUGGCCUGUAAGGACAUCCUCAUGGACGGCCAUAAGAGCUCCACCUCUCCCACCACUGCAGAUUCCUCACAUACCACAGGUGUCGGUACCUUUGUGUAUGCUGCACCAGAACAACUGAGGGGCUCCCAUUAUGAUUCAAAGUCAGACAUGUACAGCAUCGGAGUCCUGGCUCUGGAGCUUUUCCAGCCCUUUGGGACCGAGAUGGAGCGCGUCGGGACCCUCGGGGACCUGAGAGAGGGGAAAAUCCCAGACUCCUUCUGCCAGAGAUGGCCGGAUCUGAGUAAAAACAUCAUGAAGCUGACGAGUAAAGAGCCAGCUGUUCGGCCCACAGCCACCGAGCUUCUACAGAGUGAACUCUUCUGCAGUAAAGACAUAGUGAUUCAUGGUCUGCAGAGAAGGGUUGAAGAGCAGGAGGAGGAGAUCAUGCAGCUGAGGAGACAGAUCAGUCGGCUUCAGAGCUCAGACUCCUCUGAGUCGGUCAAGUCCUAAUGCUUAAAGAGUAAUUGCCUCAAACACUAUCAAAACUGGAUUUAUUCACCCACUGCUGUACCAUGUUUUGCUCGCUUGGUACAAGUGGCAGAGAGAGAGAGAGAGAGAGAGAGUGAGUGUGUGUGUGUGUGUGUGUGUGUGUCUUGUACACCUGAAUCUAAUGGUGCAAUUAUUUUUUUUAAUGUAGCUGUUCAAUACAAACUACUGUAUCAUGCGGGAUGUCUGGGAAGAAGUAUGUUAUUUCUGAUCAUUUGAGAUGUUGCUUUGGAAGGGGUACACUUAUAACAAAUUGAAAAAGUGACCUAUAAGCAGAAUUGACAAUGUGCGUUAUGAUUUUGUGCAGCUUCUUGAUCCUGAAGAAGAUUCUGCACAUUGUCAGAAAAUUAAAACACGUUAAACCUU